rnacentral:rRNA from 1 species
CACCUCUAGCAUUAUUAGUAUUAGAGGCACUGCCUGCCCAGUGACAUUAGUUAAACGGCCGCGGUAUCCUGACCGUGCAAAGGUAGCAUAAUCAUUUGUUCCUUAAUUAGGGACUUGUAUGAAUGGCCUCACGAGGGUUUAACUGUCUCUUACUUUUAAUCAGUGAAAUUGACCUUCCCGUGAAGAGGCGGGAAUACUAAAAUAAGACGAGAAGACCCUAUGGAGCUUAAAUUAAAUUGUCCAACAAACUUAACUUAAAUCCAACAGGAAUAACUAAAUUUUAACUGGAUAAUAAAUUUUGGUUGGGGUGACCUCGGAGCAUAACUUAACCUCCGAGCAGUUAAAACUCAGACUUACCCGUCAAAGUGGAACUAUUAAUUGAUCCAAUCUUAUUGAUCAACGGAACAAGUUACCCUAGGGAUAACAGCGCAAUCCUAUUUAAGAGUUCAUAUCGACAAUAGGGUUUACGACCUCGAUGUUGGAUCAGGACAUCCUAAUGGUGCAGCAGCUAUUAAA